UUAAUGUCAUUCUCUCUCCAUAAAAUAAAAUGUUCAUUGUUUUACUUUAAUUAUCGUUUAUUUUAAAAUUCACAACAGUUACUAGUAUAGGCUUUGCUUUUUACCCCGAAAUAUCCUAAAUCCUGGUAUUGGUGUAUGUUUUUUAAUUGCGCGAUAAACUUAAGAUUUCCGUCUUUUUAAUGUCCAAGAUAUAUCAAGCUAUAUCUAGCCUUAAAUGUGCGAUUAUUUUGUAAAUAUUUAUUUGGUAAAGGAACUGACUCUUCUCAGCAAUGAAACUGUAAAUGCGUAUUUGAACAAAAAAUACUUUUUUAUUUAAUUGCCAUUCUCUGAUUUCUUUCUACCCUUGUAAUCGGUCAAUAUGUUUUUGAAUAGUCUGCAGAUAUCCCAAAAAAAUCUCUUUGGUCAGAACGAUGUGCAUGAAAAUGAUUACUUGAGCAAGCCUCAGAACCAGACUAUUAACAGCAUUAAACAGACAUCUGACCCCCUCGGUUGUUUCUUUUGUUAAUAUUUCUACAACUUCCCUACAUAUUUCAUAUACCUUAUAUAAAUCAGUUUACUAAAAACAAUUUCUAUUUUUUUUAUUGCUUACAUACGUAGACGAGCUCACGGCCCACUUGGUGUUAAGUGAUCACUAGAGCCCAUAGACAUCAACAACGUUAGUGCCGCCACCUACCCUGAGACAUGAGUUCUAAGGUCUCAGAUUUUACAGUACAACGGUUGCCCCAUCCUUCGAACAGAACCGCAUUACUGAUUCAGGGCAGAAAUGGGUGGUGGUACCUAUCCGUACGGGGUCACAAGAUGCCCUACCGCCAGUAAGUCCUAUUUUUAUGAAGAAAAAUAAAACUACAACAGGAUUUCUUUAUCAUAAUGAAUAGUUGUUUUUUAAUCAUAAAGAAAAAUAAAGACUGUGCUUAUAACAAUUUCUUACAAAACGUUUUGUUCUAUUUACGUUCUUUGUCACAAUCGCCAUUCAGUCACGAAGUUCUCGGAAAUGAAUCCAUUAUACUGCUUUGGAUUGUAAAAGGCGAGACAAAACCACUGGAUUCCAUAUCGCUGACAGGUUUCGUAGCAACGCGAUCUAUGCGUCAUAAUUUCGAAAAAAAUUAAGUCAUUGCCAACCUAGCCUACCCAGCUUAAAGAGUUUGAAUGACAAAGAAUAGAGUACCUUAUUACUUCUUUUUUUUAAGUAUGGUACUUAAUUGACUUCUUUUUUUUAAAGAAAUAGGAAAGGAAGGAAUUUUAUGACCUGGUAACUAAGACCUGAUCAGCUAUGUAGUUUCCGGCGCCCACAAUGAGAGGAUUCUCAUGUCGAGCCGCUUUAUCGAACUGGUGCAUUGAUGCCGACUGUAAAUACUUACUGAUGGCCUCUCGGUCCAGGUCAUCGUGCAGGUCGAUGUUCCUGACGAACAACGGGGACAGCGAUCAUAAAAGGCUUACUUAAAGGAUUUCAAAUAAUUAAAAAUGACGAGAAAAGCUAUAAAA